GAUGAACGCUAGCGGCAGGCUUAACACAUGCAAGUCGAGGGGGAUAGUUCUUCGGAGCUAGAGACCGGCGCACGGGUGCGUAACGCGUAUGCAAUCUACCUUUUGCAGAGGGAUAGCCCAGAGAAAUUUGGAUUAAUACCUCAUAGUAUGUGAGAAUGGCAUCAUUUUCACAUUAAAGUCACAACGGCAAAAGAUGAGCAUGCGUCCCAUUAGCUUGUUGGUAAGGUAACGGCUUACCAAGGCAACGAUGGGUAGGGGUCCUGAGAGGGAGAUCCCCCACACUGGUACUGAGACACGGACCAGACUCCUACGGGAGGCAGCAGUGAGGAAUAUUGGACAAUGGGCGCAAGCCUGAUCCAGCCAUGCCGCGUGCAGGAUGACGGUCCUAUGGAUUGUAAACUGCUUUUGUACAGGAAGAAACACUGGUUCGUGAACCAGCUUGACGGUACUGUAAGAAUAAGGAUCGGCUAACUCCGUGCCAGCAGCCGCCGCCGUAA
rnacentral:rRNA from 1 species